UGUGUGUGUGUGUGUGUUAGGUUUGCGAGUGAAUUGUUGAGACUUGAGACUUGAGUGACUGUGCAGCGUGUGUGUGUGCUGUGCAGCUCGUGUGUGUUCUGUUCUGUCAUUCUGUGUGUGUGCUGUGCAAGUGUACAGCUUGUGACUUGUGUAGUUGUGUAGUUGUGUGUGCAGCAGCGUAUGUGUGUGUGGCUGUGUGCUGUGCAGCUUGUGACAAGUUGUGUGUGUGUGUGUGUUGUGCAGCAGCCGAGAGUGUGUGGCUGUGUGCAGUGUUACUGUUAGCCUUUUCCUUUAUAAAUUCAUAUCGAGCUAGAGCUACCCACUCAAGGUAACAACUUUAGAAAUUCUCCAUUUUACCACAUGUUUAAUUACGAGUUCCCGCAACAUGAUAAGGGAUUAAGGGUUUCCUGAAUCCCUUUUUUUUUUUUGUGGGGUUUCUUUUUUCCCCUCGCUCCCAGUACAUGGAACCCAUAAUUAAACAUAGAAAUAAGUUUAUUAUAUAUAAAUUAUGAUAACAAGAUGGUAGGCUUACACUUCUGAGGAUUUUGAACAGAGUAAACAGAUUCCAUUUGUCUGCAAGAGAAUCGCGACAUGAAUAUAAGUAGUGUUAGCUUAAGGUUUUUUUUUUUUUUUUUUGAGAACCCGAUCGGGUAUUUGGAUCGGGUCGGGUUUGACCCGAACCGAUCACAACCCGAUCGGGUUUGUAAAUUUCAAACCGAUCAGGUUUCGAUCCCGACCCGAACCCAAAAUUUAUUGGGUCGGGUUGGGUCGGGUCGGGUCGGGUCGGAUCGGGUAAAAUGCCCACCCCUAGACCUAAGUUUAUUUUUUUCAAUAAACGACUUAGGUCCGUUCUUUAUAAAGAAUGAUCUAUGUCCAUUCCUUACAAAGAAUUACUUGGCCAUUCAAAAAAUAUUCCUAAGUCAAACAGUCAAAUAUAUGAUUUGAGUUUUCGACAAAGUACCAAAGGCGUGAUUCUACAAAGAAGGACCUAAGUUCACAUUUUACAAAUAAUGACCUAGGUCUAUUCUUUUACAAAAUGUCAAAGAUAUGAUUUUACAAAGAAAGACCUAGGUUCAUUCUUUACAAAUAUUGACCUAAAUACUUAGAAAAUAUUUAUAUGAGCCUUUGGGCCAACAAGCAUUCUACGGAAUGUGGCUAUGGGUAAAUAUACAUUUUACGAAAUAUAUCUACGGACAAAUAUAUAUUUCACGAAAUGUGCCUAGGUGCAAAUAUACAUUAUAUGGAAUAAGUGUACGAGCAAAAUAAAUAUUCUAAAAAAUGUGUCUACGAGCAAAUAUACAUUUUACGGAAUGAGCUUAUGGGCAAAUAUAUAUUUUAUGGAAUGAACCUAUAGGAAAAUAAGUAUUCUGUGGAAUGAGCCUACAGGCAAUUGUUGCGAUAAAUUCAAAUGCUAUGGGUGUCAAUGUGCAAAUGUACAUAACAAGUAAUAUAAUGAUGAGUAUUUAAGAUCGUCUCCACAGGGAUUGGUGUUAUUAGAUUUGCUACAACAAUCUUAACAGUGCAGUUUUGCUUUAAUUAAAAAUAAAAUAGGUAAUAAAACUAAUAAAUUAAUUGAAAUAAAAUGCAAUAAAUAGAAAUGCAAUAAAUAAAUUCUCACAUCACACACAAGGAUAAAACCAAUGGGAAUGAAGUAGUUGAGUGAUUAAACUCACUUAAUGGUUUUGACUUUUUUUUCCUAAUGUUUGGCUGGGUUGUUACAACAUCUGCAGCACUAGGUAGAAUUCUUAUGUAUCCUCAGCUGUCGCAUGUUGGAUAUCUUAUAUCUAUACACAACUUAAUAAUGAUCAGUUGUUAUGCCAACAUAAGAAUGUCGCUACUGUUUUAAUAUCAAAAUUUUUGGCUCAAAAUGUAAAUAAAUAAAAUAAGUUUCUAUGCCAUAAUAUAAAUUAUAAAAAAUAUAGGGAUCAAAAUGUUAUCUUGCGUUGUUGACUUUUGGUCAAGGACCCUUUUGAAAAGUUUGCAAAAUAUGUUAGGCCAUAAUAGAAUUUCUAUAUGCAAAUAUUUUCUAAAUAUUGGGUCAUACUAAAAUUUUAUAAAAGAGAGGGUUCCAAAUGAUAUUAUCGGGUUCGGGUUUUUUAAAGUUUGAUCCGAAAAUCGAACCGAACCGAAAAAACCGAACCAAAUUUCUAUAUUCGAUUUUUUUUUUCAAAAAAACCCGAACCGAAACCGAAAAAAACCGAACCGAACCGAAUUUUUUUCGGUUCCUGUUCGGUUUUGCCCACCCGUAGCUAGUAUCAUUAAAUGGGUAAUCAACCAAAAUAAUGAAUAGAAAUAAGUAUUAUUAAAACAAAACAUUAUAGCAAACAUGCAUCAACACAUAAAAUCAGUCAAUGAACCACUAAGAUUGUUUAUCACUCAACCACAACUAAAUUUAGUUCAUGGUUUGUGAAAAAAAAAAUAAAAAAGAGAGCUUUAGCCAUAAAGUACAUCCCCAUGAAUAAAUAGAAAACAAGAAAAGAAUAAGAAAGAUUGAUUUUCAAUGGAUCUCUGUGUUUUCUCCUUAGGUGCAGCCCUCAAUCUCUCUUGAAUUCUGUUUUUCUUUUAUUUCUUUGCGGUUUUUCUCCUUGGGUGACGACUUUCUCUUUUCCUUUGCGUGUGUCCUUCUUUUAUAGCUAAAACUUAGGGUAAAUGGAAGUAUAGGGCACGUAUCUUCCAGAUUAGGAAACUCCGUAUCGCAAUCUUAUAAGUAUCUCGAGUGAAAUCUUCUCCGCCGUUGUUCUAAGAUUGCUAUGGCAACAGAUGCUACAACAACUGCUACAACAUUUGCAUUGUUUCAGACUUGCUUCAAUUCUUCUGUAGUCAUGUUCUAUUCCAUCUUUUGCAAGCCUAUUGCAGCAGCAGCAUUCCUUCGUUAAAAUUUGAGCUUCCGGUCACUUACAAUUAUGCAUAUGAUCUAAGCACACAAAAUUAUUCGAAAACAACACAAUUUAUUAAAAAUAAACUAAAAUGGUUAUUCAUGCAAAAUAAAACUAAAAUGCAAUAAAAAUAUGUCAUUUACUCUCUAAGUAAUCUUGAUUUAAGUCUAAAAAUGUCAUGAUAACUCUUAUUUCAUAGAGUUAUCAGCAACUAAGUAUUCUACGGAGUGCACUAACAGGUAAAUAUACACUUUACAAAUGACCUAGGGCAAUUAAGCAUUCUAUGAAAUGAGCGUACAUGCAAAUAAAUAUUUUAUGGAAUUGCACCUAUGGGAAAAUAUACAUUCUAUGGAAUGAGCUUAUAGGCCAAAUAAACAUUCUAUGAAAUGCACCUACGUAUAAACAAAUAUUCUAUAGAAUGAGCAUACGAGCCAAAUAAAUAUUCUACUGAAUGAGCUUAUGAGCUAAUAAACAUUCUAUGGCAUGUGUUUACGAACAAAUAAACAUUUUAUGGAAUGAACUUAUAGGCUAACAAACAUUAUACGGAAUGAAAUUAUGGGCUAACAAACAUUCUAUACAAUAAGCCUACGCUAAAUAAACAUUCUAUAAAAUGAGCCUACUCAUAUAAACAUUCUAUAGAAUGAGCAUAUUAGUUAACAAAUACUCUGAAUAAUAUGUUACAGAUAAACUUUAUAAAAGCCACUUACUGGGCAAAAUAUUGCAAAAUUAAUCUUCUUUGUGAAGAAUCAAUAUAAGUGCCGAAUUCAAGCUCAAGCCCAUCAAAAGUCAAGGGCACAAAAUCAAGACAAGUGUCUAAAUAGACUUGUCGUGAACAAGUCAUAAUAUAUAUUGAUAGACGUCCUUAUACAUGGGCUUUUUGGACACAUAUCACAAUGACAAUGCUAAUGUCAUGAUAACUCCUCCACCUCAUACUUCAAGUUGCUUAUAUAAAGGUCAAGCAUCCCACAUUUGAAGGUAAGAUCAAGAAGCCAUAAAAUGAGUACAAAGUUUUGCCCAUCUCACUCUAUAUUUUCUCUAUCUAGAAAUUAGUAAAAAGAACUAACUUGAGUAUCAGAGGGUUAUCGCCAGCACGCUAGGCCCCUUGGCAAUUGUUUCUUUUUACAUAACAAUUAACCAUAAAGAGACACGUGAUUUGAGACACUCAACUUAAGAAAAAAUAUGCCGCAAAUCUUGAUUCAGAAUAAAGUUCGGAACAUAAAUUAAUCAUUGUACAUUGAGCAAAAUUUUUUAAUGUAUCAAAAAUUAAUUAGUCAAUGAAAUCCUCCCUAGUUGUGUAACAAUUGGAGAAAAUUAAUUUUCAAAGUGCCUAAAAAUACAUAUAAUACAGAAACGUCAAUUUACAAAUAAUUUUUUAUAGUUAAAUGUUGAAACAACCAAUUAAAAUCAUACCGACAUAAUAGAAAGUAUAAUAGAACCUGUUGAGGGUAAAUUAUAUGGGUGGUUUAGUAAUAUAAUAUUUCGUUAAAAAUGAGUGUUUAGAAUCAAUUUCUAAGAAAAAGAUUUUUACGAUUUUUCAAAAAAUGACAGGGGCUGCAAUGUUAAUAACCAAGUAAGCAAAUCUCUCACUGCUGAAUAACUUCUUCCAUAAAUUUAAUGGUUGAAUCAUAAAAGGGCAAAGUUAGGGUACCUUGCACAAAAGGCAAUGUGGCUAGACCCUAUAUUUAUUAUUCUUAGGAAAGGGGAGGAAUAUAUAAGGGUGCAUUUGGUAAUAUUUUUUAACUAAUGUUUUCGGCUCUUAUUUUAGAGAAAGAAAAUGACAUUUUUGAUGUGAUGUUUUUCAAAAUGAAAAUUUGUUUGGUAUUAUGUUCUCAAAACGGUAUAUGAAAAUGAAAACAAUAAAAAUUUGUUUGGUUGUUUGUCUGAAAAUAUCGAAUUUUUUAUAGAAUCUUAUAAAAUAAUUUUCUUCAAUUUAUUUAUACAUUUUAUCUUUUAUUAUUAUAAUUUUAAUAAAAAUGAAAUCAAAUUUCACACAACAAUAAUAAUUUUUAGAAAACCCUCUUAUAUUUUAUUAAGUUUAAGAAAAUAAAAUGAAAAAUAAAAUAGUAAAUGUAAAAUAAUUAGCAUAACAAAAUAAAAAACCAUUCUACAAUUACAUUUAUUAUAGACAUUUAAGUAGUUCAUUUGUACUAAUUAUAUUUUACAACACAAAAUAUAAAGGACAAAAUAGUACAUUGCAUCCAAAACAUGACUAAAUAUCUACAUAUAUUCCUUUCAACAUGAAGGACGUCACCUGCAAAUAAAUAAAAAAAUUAGCUAUAGGAUAUUUAAUAAUGAUAACAACAUAAAAAACUCAACUAUAUAACAAAUAAAAAUUAACAUACGUAUUAUGUCGUGUACAGUCAUGCCAUAAUGCUCUUGCAAUCAUAUCUCUAGUGGCAUUCAUUUGCCCAAUGUACUCUUGAUUAGAUAAAUUUAUGUCUACCACUAUAACUUUUCUGCCUCUGUAUGAUGUUUGUUUUUUAGCAGGUGCCCAUACAACUAUAUGAGUUCCAUCAAUUGCACUGAUACAUCCCUAAACAAAAAAAAAUUUAAAAAAAUUUAUAAUGUUUGUCAUUGCCUUCAGCUAUAAAUACGUACCUUAAAAUAUGGACAGUAUUUUAGGUAAUCUCUAACUUCACGUGGUGUCUCUCCUCGGUUUCUUGGACGAAUAAUAUUUGGUGCCAAAAAACAUAUUGCCUUACGAACACGCUUAAAUUGCCUAUGAAUUGUUUCAUUCGAGUGUUGGAAUCAAUCGCAGCAACAUGCUUAUGAAUACUAUGUGACACAAUAAAUAAAAAGAUUGCCACAACUUCAUGUACACUAACUUCUCUCUAAUUUCGUAGCGAGUCUAAUUCUUGGAGAGUGUCACAUAAUCUUAAAAAUACAUGUCUGUCCAUGCGAAAUAAAUCAUACAUCCUAUCUGAAUGCCAAGACAAUAAUUCUUGCACAUAAUCUCGUCCUAUUAAGGUAGAGAUAUUUCGUGGCCUUCUAUGUUGUCAAGAUUGCAGAUAAUGAGAAUAUAUGUUCAACAACAAGAGCAUACCUACUGCAAUCAUCAAGCUAUGAGCCACUAUCUAAUUCACCACUAUACGAUGGAUUAUCUGACUCAUCACUAUAUGAUGAAUUAUUUGAAUCACUUUCCUCCAUUAUGAUAUUUGUUGUAUAUACAUUCAUUAAAGUAAGAAAAUGUUAAUUCAAUUGGAAUAAUGGAUAAAUAUACAAAGGUCAAUUAAUCAACUAAAAUGGAAAUGUUAUAAAAAUUGUACAACAAUAUUAAUACAAUAAUAAAAACAUUAAUACAUAGUUGUGGACUUUAAACUCAAUAACAUAGUUCAUACAAUAGUCCGAAGCUUAGAAAUAACCAUAAACAAUAUAAAAUAGUCAAAGCAUCAAACAAAAACUUAAACACACAUAAAGAAACAAUAAACAUAGUUGCUAUUGCAAAGCAUGAUUAAAAUUAAUCACAAUGCAAUCCUCUAAAGUUGCACAAUCUACUUCAGUCAGCUUAACCAAACUUUCCUUCUAUCAUUAGACAUAGCAAGGAAACUUUUUCUCCACUUCUUAUCAUGAAUCUUGUCCAGAAAGUUCAUGUAAGUGUCAUCAUCAACCCCAAUGCUCUCAACAAUUUGUAUACAUUCUGCACUAGAGUACAACUCUAGACCUUUUCCACUAUGUUCUCCAACAUGACUUGAUUCUUGAGUUUUGGCACUCUUUUGUUUGUCUAAUCUACCACUCAUCACAUCACUAAAAAUUUCAAUGGUCUUUCCCAUUUCCCAACAUUGUGGUUCAGAUAAUUAGGAUUGAUUAGUUUUGCGAUGAACUUUCUUCCCUUUACUAUUUGUAAGUGGCGGCUCAGACUCAUCAACUAACUCAUGGGUAUUCACAUGCACUCCCGUAUUGGGAAACAUUUCCUCAAGUAUCUGUUCUUCAUCCGAAUUUGGAGGUAAUUGGUUUGAUGAAAAGUGCAUCUGACUAGUUGCAGUAGUAGUAUUAAAUAUCUCUCCCAAAAUCUCAUAGUAGUCUAAUCCUUUCUUACGAUAUGGUUUCACUCUUGGAACCCGCUGCAAAAAAAAAAAAAAACAAUAAUAAUUAAAUUAAUUUGUAGAUAAGCAUAUCAUUUUUUUUUUUUAUGCUUAAGCAAAAAAGGUUGUAAACUACAAAAUUACCUUAACGUACUCAAUCCACACUUCAUUUGCUGCGGUGACAGUAUUUGAAAUAGGAUCCCAUCUAAUUCCAGUAUGGUUAAUUAGUUCGGAAAUCUCUCGAUGUUUCUUUCGUAAACAAUUGUACUUUGCUUUAAGUUUGGGAACACUAUAUCGCUUUAAUGUUUCAGCAUAAAGUUCAUCAUAAAUCAUGAACCAAACCUUUUUACUAAAGCUAGAAGUUUGCAGGUCACUCUUUUUCACAUGUUCAUGUAAAAUGCGAAUGAAUAUUGACUCAUUUACAGGGGACCAUUUGGCUUUAUCAUCAACUUCAAACAUUAGUUGAGGCCAUCUCCUUCUAAUGCAUUUAAAAAGAACACACAUAUACUCACAAAUUAUACCCAUAUGUAAUAAUAAUGAUUACACUUUUAAAAGCUAUAAUAAAAUUUAAGGAAAUUAUCCAUCGACCACCUGUUUUUUCAUCGUUUUUCAAAAAUACACAAAUCUUUUUUUUUUUUUUUUGCAGCACUCCACCUGAAGUUAACAUUUUUUUUAUUGGUCCACUCUCGUUAUAAUACCGUUAAAACUUUGCUGACAUCAUAAGGGUAAAAUUAUCAUUUCACAACGGAACAAUGGUGGACAAGUGCAAAACAAUAUAACUUAAGUGGAGUUCAGUAAAAAAAAAUUAAGAAUUGUGUAUUUUUGAAAAAAUACAAAAAAAGGUGGUCGGUGGAUAAUUUAUCUUUUACAUUUGAGGGUAAAAAAGCCAUUUACACAAUAUUUCGUUAGUUUUCUUAACGGUCUCCAAACGGAAGUGGACAAGUGAAAAGAAAUGUAACUUCAGGUGGAUUCCAGUCCAAAAAAAAAAGAAUUGUGUAUUUUUUAAAAAGCCUGAAAAAA
rnacentral:lncRNA from 1 species